UAGAAUAGUAUUUAAUAUAUAUAAAAUCUAAUUUGCAUUUAGGAAUUGCCUUCAGCCUAUUCUAA
rnacentral:tRNA from 1 species